UACGGAGGGUGCGAGCGUUGUCCGGAAUCACUGGGCGUAAAGGGCGCGUAGGCGGCUCGUGAAGUCAGUGGUGAAAGCCCAGGGCUCAACUCUGGGUCGGCCACUGAUACUCGCCGAGCUCGAGUUGGUAGAGGCAGAUGGAAUUCCGGGUGUAGCGGUGGAAUGCGUAGAGAUCCGGAAGAACACCGGUGGCGAAGGCGGU
rnacentral:rRNA from 1 species